UACGUAGGGUGCAAGCGUUGUCCGGAAUUAUUGGGCGUAAAGAGCUCGUAGGCGGUUUGUCGCGUCUGCUGUGAAAACCUAAGGCUCAACCUUGGGCUUGCAGUGGGUACGGGCAGACUAGAGUGCGGUAGGGGUGACUGGAAUUCCUGGUGUAGCGGUGGAAUGCGCAGAUAUCAGGAGGAACACCGAUGGCGAAGGCAGGUCACUGGGCCGCAACUGACGCUGGAGGAGCGGAAAAGCAUGGGGAGCGAACAGG
rnacentral:rRNA from 1 species